rnacentral:piRNA from 1 species
UGUUAUAUAAAUGGGGACUUAUGAAGGA